rnacentral:rRNA from 1 species
UACGUAGGGGGCAAGCGUUGUCCGGAAUCAUUGGGCGUAAAGAGCGUGUAGGCGGCCAGAAAAGUCCGCUGUGAAAACUCGAGGCUCAACUUCGAGCUGUCGGUGGAAACUUUCUGGCUAGAGUCCGGAAGAGGAGAAUGGAAUUCCGUGGUGUAGACGGUGAAAUGCGGCAGAUAGUCGGGAGGAACGACCGGUGGCGAAGGCGGUUCUCUGGGCCGUUACCUGACGCUGAGGAGACGAAAGCGUGGGGGAGCGAACAGG